GUAAUACGUAGGUGGCAAGCGUUGUCCGGAUUUAUUGGGCGUAAAGCGAGCGCAGGCGGUUUUGUAAGUCUGCUGUGAAAGCCCUCAGCUCAACUGAGGAAGUGCAGUGGAAACUACAAAACUUGAGUACAGAAGAGGAAAGUGGAACUCCAUGUGUAGCGGUGAAAUGCGUAGAUAUAUGGAAGAACACCAGUGGCGAAGGCGGCUUUCUGGUCUGUUACUGACGCUGAGGCUCGAAAGCAUGGGUAGCGAACAGGAUUAGAUACCCUGGUAGUCCAUGCCGUAAACGAUGAAUACUAGGUGUUGGAGGGUUUCCGCCCUUCAGUGCCGCAGCUAACGCAUUAAGUAUUCCGCCUGGGGAGUACGACCGCAAGGUUGAAACUCAAAGGAAUUGACGGGGGCCCGCACAAGUGGUGGAGCAUGUGGUUUAAUUCGAUGCUACGCGAAGAACCUUACCAGCUCUUGACAUCUUCUGCCAACCCAAGAGAUUGGGCGUUCCCUUCGGGGACAGAAUGACAGGUGGUGCAUGGUUGUCGUCAGCUCGUGUCGUGAGAUGUUGGGUUAAGUCCCGCAACGAGCGCAACCCUUAUUAUUAGUUGCCAGCAUUUAGUUGGGCACUCUAGUGAGACUGCCGGUGAUAAACCGGAGGAAGGUGGGGACGACGUCAAAUCAUCAUGCCCCUUAUGAGCUGGGCUACACACGUGCUACAAUGGAUGGUACAACGAGUCGCGAAACCGCGAGGUCAAGCUAAUCUCUUAAAGCCAUUCUCAGUUCGGAUUGCAGGCUGCAACUCGCCUGCAUGAAGUUGGAAUCACUAGUAAUCGUGGAUCAGCAUGCCACGGUGAAUACGUUCCCGGGCCUUGUACACACCGCCCGUCACACCAUGAGAGUUUGUAACACCCAAAGACGAUGGGGUAACCUUUUAGGAGCUAGUCGUCUAAGGUGGGACAGAUGAUUAG
rnacentral:rRNA from 1 species